AUUCCAGCUCCAAUAGCGUAUACUAAAGUUGUUGCAGUUAAAAAGCUCGUAGUUGAAUUUCUGGGUGUGAUAGGCGGUCCGUGUGCAUAACAUGUGUACCUCCCUCUCAUGCCCAUCCUCGAAGUGAAUAUGCAUUGCCUUAACUGUGUCGUGUAUAGGACCUUCGUCAUUUACUGUGAGCAAAAUAGAGUGUUCAAAGCAGGCUUAUGCCGUUGAAUAUAUUAGCAUGGAAUAAUAAGAUAUGACUUCUGUCUAUUUUGUUGGUUUGCAUUCGGAAGUAAUGAUUAAUAGGGAUAGUUGGGGGCAUUAGUACUUAACUGUCAGAGGUGAAAUUCUCGGAUUUGUUAAAGACUAACUUAUGCGAAAGCAUUUGCCAAGGAUGUUUUCAUUG
rnacentral:rRNA from 1 species